AGUGAACGCUGGCGGUAGGCCUAACACAUGCAAGUCGAACGGCAGCAAAGGAGAGCUUGCUCUCUGGGUGGCGAGUGGCGGACGGGUGAGUACUCCAUCGGAAUCUACUUUUUCGUGGGGGAUAACGUAGGGAACCUUACGCUAAUACCGCAUCCGACCUACGGGUGAAAGCAGGGGAGCGUCGGACCUUGCGCGAUUUAAAGAGCCGAUGUCGGAUUAGCUAGUUGGCGGGGUAAAGGACCACCAAGGCGACGAUCCGUAGCUGGUCUGAGAGGAUGAUCAGCCACACUGGAACUGAGACACGGUCCAGACUCCUACGGGAGGCAGCAGUGGGGAAUAUUGGACAAUGGGCGCAAGCCUGAUCCAGCCAUACCGCGUGGGUGAAGAAGGCCUUCGGGUUGUAAAGCCCUUUUGAUGGGAAAGAAAUCCAGCUGGCUAAUACCCGGUUGGGAUGACGGUACCCAAAGAAUAAGCACCGGCUAACUUCGUGCCAGCCGCCGCAGUAACAC
rnacentral:rRNA from 1 species